ACUCCGUUGGUGAACCAGCGGAGGGAUCAUUACAGAGUUGCAAAACUCCCAAACCAUUGUGAACGUUACCUAUCCCGUUGCUUCGGCGGGCGGCCCGGGCCCCGCGCCCGGCGCCCCCCGGCCCCCCGUGGGCGCCCGCCGGAGGUAAACCAAACCCUUGAAUUGCAUGGCCUCUCUGAGUCUUCUGUACUGAAUAAGUCAAAACUUUCAACAACAGAUCUCUUGGUUCUG
rnacentral:misc_RNA from 1 species